rfam:Lupinus angustifolius cultivar Tanjil contig_4178, whole genome shotgun sequence.
AGAUGCGAUCAUACAAACACUAAUGCUUUGGAUCCCAUCGGAACUCCGCAGUCAAGCGUGCUUGGGCGAUAGUAGUACUAGGAUGGGUGACCUCCUGGGAAGUCUUCGUGUUGCACCUC